rnacentral:tRNA from 1 species
UGGCUCAGUGGUAGAGUGCUUGCCUUGCAUGCAUGAGGACCUGGGUUCAAUUCCUCAG